rnacentral:rRNA from 1 species
GACGAACGCUGGCGGCGUGCUUAACACAUGCAAGUCGAACGGUGAAGCGCCUUCCUUUUUGGUGGGUGUGGAUGAGUGGCGAACGGGUGAGUAACACGUGAGUAACCUGCCCCCUUCUUCUGGAUAACCGCAUGAAAGUGUGGCUAAUACGGGAUAUUCUGGGUCUGUCGCAUGAUGGGUCUGGGAAAGAUAUUGUUUCGGUUGGGGAUGGGCUCGCGGCUUAUCAGCUUGUUGGUGGGGUGAUGGCCUACCAAGGCGGUGACGGGUAGCCGGCCUGAGAGGGUGGACGGUCACACUGGGACUGAGACACGGCGCAGACUCCGACGGGAGGCAGCAGGGGGGAAUAUGGCACAAUGGGCGCAAGCCUGAUGCAGCGACGCCGCGGGAGGGAUGGAGGCCUUCGGGUUGUGAACCUCUUUCGCCAGUGAAGCAGGCCUGCCUCGUUUGUGGGUGGGUUGACGGUAGCUGGAGAAGAAGCGCCGGCUAACUACGUG